UGGGGAAUAUUGGACAAUGGACCGAGAGUCUGAUCCAGCAAUUCUGUGUGCACGAUGACGUUUUUCGGAAUGUAAAGUGCUUUCAGUUGGGAAGAAAAAAAUGGCGGUACCAACAGAAGAAGUGACGGCUAAAUACGUGCCAGCAGCCGCGGUAAUACGUAUGUCACGAGCGUUAUCCGGAUUUAUUGGGCGUAAAGCGCGUCUAGGUGGUUAUGUAAGUCUGAUGUGAAAAUGCAGGGCUCAACUCUGUAUUGCGUUGGAAACUGUGUAACUAGAGUACUGGAGAGGUAAGUGGAACUACAAGUGUAGAGGUGAAAUUCGUAGAUAUUUGUAGGAAUGCCGAUGGGGAAGCCAGCUUACUGGACAGAUACUGACGCUGAAGCGCGAAAGCGUGGGUAGCAAACAGGAUUAGAUACCCUGGUAGUCCACGCCGUAAACGAUGAUUACUAGGUGUUGGGGGUCGAACCUCAGCGCCCAAGCAAACGCGAUAAGUAAUCCGCCUGGGGAGUACGUACGCAAGUAUG
rnacentral:rRNA from 1 species